AAUAUUUAUUACUGAAGAGAAUUGAAGAGAAUACACACGCACCCUGCACCUUUAUCUGCACAAAGAAUCUUCUGAACAUCUCUGCACGUGUUUCUUUUUGGCACUGAGAUGAAGCUGUGUGGAAUAUAGGCUUGGAUGAAUUUUCCAUCAAGUGCAGGACAUGUAGUGCUCAUCUGAGAUGUCCUGCUGACAAGAACAGCAGAGUGUCAUACCCACGGAACCACAGAAGCGUUACCCAGACAAAAUGAGCAUUUGUCGCCUGGACUUCCUACAAAUGACAGAGGCGGUAGGAAUCAGCAUCCGAAGCAUCCGUAAGACCCCUGCAAAGGAAUGG